rnacentral:rRNA from 1 species
UACGUAGGGUGCGAGCGUUGUCCGGAAUUAUUGGGCGUAAAGAGCUUGUAGGCGGUCUAUCGCGUCUGCUGUGAAAAUCCGGGGCUCAACCCCGGACUUGCAGUGGGUACGGGCAGACUAGAGUGUGGUAGGGGAGACUGGAAUUCCUGGUGUAGCGGUGAAAUGCGCAGAUAUCAGGAAGAACACCCGUGGCGAAGGCGGUUCUCUGGGACGGUACUGACGCUGAGACGCGAAAGCGUGGGGAGCGAACAGG